AGAGUUUGAUCCUGGCUCAGGAUGAACGCUGGCGGCGUGCUUAACACAUGCAAGUCGAACGAAGCACUCUAUUUGAUUUCCUUCGGGAUUGAUUAUUUUGUGACUGAGUGGCGGACGGGUGAGUAACGCGUGGGUAACCUGCCUUGUACAGGGGGAUAACAGUUGGAAACGGCUGCUAAUACCGCAUAAGCGCACAGUACCGCAUGGUAUAGUGUGAAAAACUCCGGUGGUAUAAGAUGGACCCGCGUUUGAUUAGCUGGUUGGUGGGGUAACGGCCUACCAAGGCGACGAUCAAUAGCCGACCUGAGAGGGUGACCGGCCACAUUGGGACUGAGACACGGCCCAAACUCCUACGGGAGGCAGCAGUGGGGAAUAUUGCACAAUGGGCGAAAGCCUGAUGCAGCGACGCCGCGUGAGCGAAGAAGUAUUUCGGUAUGUAAAGCUCUAUCAGCAGGGAAGACAAUGACGGUACCUGACUAAGAAGCACCGGCUAAAUACGUGCCAGCAGCCGCGGUAAUACGUAUGGUGCAAGCGUUAUCCGGAUUUACUGGGUGUAAAGGGAGCGCAGGCGGUGCGGCAAGUCUGAUGUGAAAGCCCGGGGCUCAACCCCGGUACUGCAUUGGAAACUGUCGUACUAGAGUGUCGGAGGGGUAAGCGGAAUUCCUAGUGUAGCGGUGAAAUGCGUAGAUAUUAGGAGGAACACCAGUGGCGAAGGCGGCUUACUGGACGAUAACUGACGCUGAGGCUCGAAAGCGUGGGGAGCAAACAGGAUUAGAUACCCUGGUAGUCCACGCCGUAAACGGUGAAUACUAGGUGUCGGGAGGCAUUGCCUUUCGGUGCCGUCGCAAACGCAGU
rnacentral:rRNA from 1 species